rnacentral:lncRNA from 10 species
UUGCGCCACUGCACUUCAGCCUGGGAGACAGAGCAAGACUGUCUCAAAAAAAAAAGUUUCAUCUUUCUAAAAUAACUUUCUCAUCAGAUUGUAUGGUCUAAGUGUGCAUUUAUACAGACCUAUUCUUUUUCCAAGAAAGAAUGUGCAUGGUUCAUAAACAUACCUGUAGUCUGAGAUAAAAUGAAAUUACAAUUAGUUGGUGAGGCAGUCAGGGUGAGGGCGAGGCGGGGGUGGCAGGUAGGUAGAAGCCCCCACAGCGUAUACAAGGUGGUCUUCUGCUUGUGCAGGCAACUCCCAAGGUGGGCGCCAGUAGGGGCACAAGCUGGGCUGUCCAGGAGAGGCAGCUGUACAGGUGCUGGGGCCAGAGGGAGUUCACUAGGACCCAUGGGGCCACACACGAGAAGGCGAAACUUAGUAGACAGAGCGCCUGAGGUUGUGCUGGCCGUGAGCGAGCACGUAGGGCUCCUGGCCUGCCGAGGGCUGGUGGGGUACCAGAGCUCCAUAGCUAGAAAGCCACCUCCAGGGAUAUAGUCGUACUACUGUAUACAUAUGUAGUACUCUCCAGUGCUUUGUCUCAAGCCAGAGAGGGGCUUUUGAAUACCUGAGCAGUGCUUUUCAGUCUUUAGUACACUAGGCAUGGUCUGGACUGAUUGUUAAUAUAAUACAGAUUUCUGGUGCAAAAUGUCAACAGUGCUGAGGUUGAAAAACCCUGCUGUCAAGUAACAAACUAAAUGAAAGUUUCUUGGUAAAAGGAGAUAUGAAAUAACAGAUUCAAGAGAGAAGGCUGGAAGCCAACAAGGUCUUUAAGAAAAAAAAAUAUAGAUAUAGAUAUAUAGAUAUAUAUCUGAAGGAAAAAGGAUCAAAAUAAGAAUCCCCCUUCAAAAUCAAGACACUAAACUUGAAUGCUACAACCAGAAUUCUUGAAACCAGAAUGCUACAACAAUAACAAGAUAACAGUAUAAAAGAUAAUUGAGAAAAAGCAAAAUGUUCCUUGGUGAGGAAGGCCUCUGAAUGAGGAAAAUCCAUUCCAAAUUAACCUGGAGCUGAUACGUUGAGCAGGCCUCUUGCUGGUGGCAUAGGGUGUGUCGAGCCCCAUCCAUCAACCUGCGUACCUUGCACCCCUGACCAAGGGCCGCCUCUGCAUCCCCUGGCUGCUCCCACAGAAUGAACAAGCCUGAGGCAGGAGCAAUUCUGCCCUUAACCGCACUCCAGGCUUAUUCUGCACGUCUGACUUUGUAUCCUUUCUCUUCCCAAUCCAGUGGUUGCUCUAGGCUACCUACAACACAGGCCAAACCCCUCUAGGUGGCUUAGAUGGCUUUUGGAACACUUCCAGAACUUGCCUCCUGCCCUGUGCCCUGCAUGAGAGCUCUGCGUUCACCAGAACACCCUCAAACCCCACCCUCCAGACCCUCCCGAUCCCUGGAGGGGCACCUCCGUUCCCACCUCCUCCUCAGAUCCUUCCCUGGCCAGGGCCCGACUUCGCCUUUUCCUGACCACCUCACUGGUGCUUCUUGUGACCCAGCUCAGCUUGCCUCCAUUUGAAGUUGAGCAAUUUCCCUCUCCCUGGAUCUUUUGGAGUGUCCUGUGUCCCCAGCUACGUUGUUGGCUCCUGCAUGAGAGACCAUGUUUUAGCCAUCGUUCUUUUCCCACUGUGCUUUCUGCUCAGUGAGUGUAUUAUAACUAAUGCUUCAACGGAAGAAGGGCUACUCCUUUAUCAAAGGAGUCUAUUCAUUCUCACACGAAAGAGACCCAUGCUAUUUUUGUUAAGUAAGACCUAUGGCUUUCAAGUCCAAAUAAAUAUACUUGUGAAGAAAAAAGUAUCUAAUGAGGGAUUAAGUAAAUGCGGAACUUAAAAUGAAGUUUCAGUGGGGCCUCACUUUGCUUUCUGAAAUGAAACUAUUUAAUUUCCCAUAACAUGGUUUAUGAUAUAAAAAUAAGGUUCUGGUAUUAUAGUAGAGAAGGACUGUCCAUACCUUAUGGAUGCUUUACUGUUGGGAUUUAAGUUUAGCUGGUGAUUUCUCACUGCCUUUUCACUUGAUGUCCUCCCCUGGGGAAGGCCACUGCUGCUUUGUACCCUGCUCUGUACAGCAGGGCUAUAAAUCCCUCAUACAAAUUUCCCAACGUGGCAGGGCACUUUCAGUUGUUAUUUAGUGGAUACUGAGUGUGGCUUGGAAGCAGGAAAGAGAAGUUACAGCCUCUUCCAGCCCAACAAUGUCUUCUUCUUUUUCUUCUUUUUUUUUUUUGAGAUGGAGUCUCGCUCUAUCACCCAGGCUGGUCUCGAACUCCUGACCUCGUGAUCUGCCUGCCUCGGCCUCCCAAAGUGCUGGGAUUACAGGCGUGAGCCACCGCAUCCGGCUACGAUGUUUUCUUUUAAUUAAAGACACAGUGCACAUCAGUCCUCAUUAUGGCCGCCUUCAUCUGACUUAGCAACUGUCCCAGGCAUCUGGUGCUUAAGAUUUUAAAAUGAACAGUUUCCAUGAGCUUCAGAAUCCAAGUGGAUCUUGUAGAG